AAAAACAAAAGUUCUCUCCAUGAGACCUGGAAUCUGUAAACUGUCUUCUGGCUAAGGCAAAAAUGGACUGUUUGGUGUUGGAGGCUGAGCAGAGGUGGGCAAAAAGGAACAGAAGGAGAGUAACUGGUGAAGAAGGAGCAAAGAGUGAGGCACAAAAUGAAGUCUCACCAUGUUGCCCAAGCUGGUCUCAAACUCUUGGCCUCCAGAAAUCCUCCAACUUCAGCCUCCCAAGGUGCUGGGAUUACAGGUAAUAGCCACUGUGCCCAGUUAAGGUGCAACUUCUUUAUGGAGCUUUUCUUUACUUCUCCAAGCAAAAUUAGUUGCUCCCUUCUCUAUGUUCUCUGUACAUUUUAGUUUGUACCAUAUAAAAUUGCCUCUAUGUAACCAUUUUUGACCUACAAAUCUGGCAAUUUUAUAUCAUUUAGCCAAAUAUCUCCUUAUCCCAUUGUAUUACAUUUUGGGUUGGCAUGUGUCUAUCCUCUCUCCAUUCCACCCCCCAGAAUGUAAGUUCCAUGACAGUUAACAGUAAGAGCUGACUUUCUGUGUGCUUCCUAGGAGGCCAGGACUGUUCUACACACUUGAAGUAAAUUAACUCUUUUAAUUCUUAGAGCAAUGGUGUAAUGAUGAUACUUUUCUAUGCAUAGUACCACUAGAUAAGUGAGGAAGCUGAGGCACACAGAAGCUGUAUUUGUCAAGGUUCUCCAGAAGGACAGAACUAGUCAGAUAUAUGUCUAUAUUAAAGGGAGUUUAUUAGGGAGAAUUGGCUCACACAGUCAAAGGUGAAGUUCCACACAAUAGCCACCUGCAAGCUGAGGAAGAAAGAAGCCAGUAGUGGCUCAGUUUGAGUUCAAAAGCCUCAAAAGCAGGAAAGCCUACAGUGCAACCUUCAGUCUGUGGCAAGGCCUGAGAGCCCCAGCAAACCACUGGUGUAAGUAGUCCAAGGGUCCAAAGGCCAAAAAACCUGGAGUCUGAUGUCCAAGAGCAAGAGGAACAGAUGGAAGCAUCCAGCACAGGAGAAAGAUGAAAGCCAGAAGACCCAGCAAGACAGCUUAUCCCACCUCCUUCCACCUGCUUUAUUCUAGCCACGCUGGCAGCUGAUUGGGUGGUGCCCACUCACAUUGAGGGUGGGUCCAGUCCACUGACUCACAUGUCAAUCUCCUCUGGCAACAUUCUCACAGACGCACCCAGAAACAACACCUUACCGGCUAUCUAGACAUCCUGCAAUCCAAUCAAGCUGACACCCAGUAUUAAUCAUCACAGAAUCUAAGUAACUUGCCCAGCCUCACAAAACUUGACAGAGCUUGGAUUUGAGCCUAGGUUAUCUGUCUUUAAGGUCCAGAGACUUAACCAUUUCUCUAAAAUCCUUCUAUUACUAUUCUGUCUGGUUGUGUUUUGUUCACCACUGUAUUCCCAGGGCUAGCACAAGGCUAGGGACCUACUAGGUGCUUAGUAAAGAGGUGAAUUAAAUGAUUUUGUACCAGUCACAUUUACUGAGCACCUACUCUGUGCUCCCAGAUGUUGUGGUGGUAGGCACCAAGAAAAAUAAGGCCCAGUCCCCACCUUUAUGGAGAUGGUGGCCAAGCAGGGGCCCCUGGAAACAGUGUAGCAUUUACAUUGAGGAGGCUGAACGUCAGAGGUGAGGAGAACUAUGGAUGGCCUGUUGUGUACCUGGAGGUAGAACAGGUGAUGGAGAAGUCCUGAGAAAGAGAAGGGUAGAAUUAUCCAUGUGAAGGAGGGUCCAGGUUCAAUGCAGAUGUGUUCUAGACAGAUGGAGCAGCUUAUGCAAA
rnacentral:lncRNA from 1 species